AAAACGACUCUCGGCAACGGAUAUCUCGGCUCUCGCAUCGAUGAAGAACGUAGCGAAAUGCGAUACUUGGUGUGAAUUGCAGAAUCCCGUGAACCUUCGAGUCUUUGAACGCAAGUUGCGCCCUAAGCCUUCUGGCCGAGGGCACGUCUGCCUGGGUGUCACAAA
rnacentral:rRNA from 1 species